ensembl:lncRNA
UUUUUUUUUUUUUUUUUUGCCUUUUUGCUUUUUGCCUUUUUCUAGGGCUGCUCCUGUGGCAUGUGGAGGUUCCCAGGCUAGGGGUCUAAUCAGAGCUGUAGCCCCCAACCUACACACAGCCACAGCAACGCGGGUUCCGAGCCAUGUCUGCAACCUAUACCACAGCUCACAGCAACUCUGGAUCCUUAACCCGCUGAGCAAGGCCAGGGAUCAAACCUGCAACCUCAUGGUUCUUAGUCGGGUUCGUAAACCACUGAACCACGAUGGGAGNAGAAAUUCUUUACUAAGAAUUGGCACUGUGGGCUGGGAGGCAGAAGGACAGCUCUCCACAAUCUUGCUUUCCUUUUCCUGCAUACAAACUCCCUGAAUGCCACUGAAAUAGACAAACCAUUGCCAUGACUUAACAAAAGUUCAUGGGGAUAGUUAUGAGUUUGCUAGGGAUGCUAUGAAAAAAGGAUCACAGACUGAGUGGCUUAAACAAUAGAUAUUCAUUAUUUCAUAGUCUUGAAGGCUAGAAACACAGAUCAUCAAACUGAUUGGUUCCUUCUGAGGACUAAGAAAGGAAGAUCUUUUCUAGGUCUCUCUCCAUGGUUUGUCAAAGGCUAUUUUAUCCCUGACUUCAUAUCAUCUCCUCUCUUUUCUUAUCUAUGUCCAAAGGUCCUCUUCUCAAUAAGGACACAAGCCAUGUUAAACUAGGAUCCAUUUUAAUGACCUCAUUAAAUUUAGUUAAUUUACCUAAUUAAGGACUUUAUCUCCAGUCAUAUUUUGAAGUAAUAGGAGUUAGAACUUCAGAAUAUGAAUUUUUGGAGGAGGAAAAAAUUCAGCCCAUAGCAGAUGGUAUUCCUGAUUAUUGGAAGCUGUGACCAGGGAACAGUCUUGCACAAGCAGAGAUAGCAGAUCCAUGGCAAAUAUUUUCCUCUCUCCUACAGAAUUUGGUGUGUUUUAUAUGCAAAAGAGAAGGAGCAGAGCCAGAACUCUAUUAGAGGAAUCAUCCAGUGAAGACAACAAGGGAACACUGAAUUUACCUUCCCAGACAUCUUUCUAGUUAAACAUCACACUCUAAAGGCAUGCAGUUCACCUAUAUCAAAUGAUUCUCCAUGUCCUAAACUUCCUUCAUGUUUUUGUGCCUCUACCAUUAUGCAGCUCGGUUUUAAAUGUGUCAAAACUGCUGCUCAUUCUUCAAGGUCUGUCUCAAUACCUAGCCCUUCCACGAUAUCGUGUCAGUAGUCCCAUACCCUGUACUGUAAAUGAGCUUUCCCCUCUCUGCUUUCCUUAGAAGUUACCAAAAAUUUUGUGUUUUGUCAUCAUGCCAUUCUAUUGCUUACAGCACUCUUAUGACCACUGAUUACACAGAGAAGAUCCAAACUCCUCACCAUGGCCAGUGAAACCUGCAAUCUUUGGCUUGUGACAACCUCUUGGACUCCAUCCUCUCACUCACUCACAUUGUUUACUCAAUCCAGCCAUUUUGCUAUUCUCUUUUGCCUGCACAUAUGCCAAGCUUGAUCCUCCUGGUCUUUACACUAGCUUUUGCUUCUGCCUGGUAAACUCUUCCUGCAUUUGAACAGAUCACAAAUUCCUCUUCGUCAUUCAUAUCUGGGCUUAAAUGAUUUCACCUCAGAGAUAGUUUCUCUGAGCAGCCAUCAGCAGUGAACUCCCAGUGUCUUCCUAAUAUAUCAGCUUGCUUGCUUGACUUUAUUGUACUUUACGAAUCUGUAAUCAUUUCUUAUACAUUAAUAACACAUUUGUUGAUUUUCUGUCACUCUCAAUCACACUGUAAACUCCAGAAGGGCAGAAAAUACCAGGUCUGUUCAAUAUUAUCCCAAGGCAAUCAAAUUGGGGCAUGGAAUACAUGGGAGAAAACUGCUGAAUAAAUAAAUGAAUCAAUGGAUGAAUGCACAUAGUAAAUUUUAUUCAUGCAUAUAUGAAUAAAUGCUAGGCAGUAUACGUAGCACUGAGUAUAGGUUUAAGGAUUAGGGAGCACACAUUAUUUCAGAGAUCCCAUUAUUAUUGAAACUAGAAUAAAAUUUUAAGUUAGGUAGAAAAGAUCCAACUUUUCCAUCCAGAUAAAUUAAUUUUUUGUAAUUUUAAUUUGAACCUCCAAAUGUUUCCUCGAGUUUCUACUCUUAUAGAGAGUUACCUAACUCCACAUCUCAAAUUCAGCUAUUGUAUGAUUCAAAAGAAGUAUAAAUAUCUUAUAGUUGCAGCAAGACUGGAAUCAAGUUGUAAUCUCUGUUUUCUCUAGGAUAAGAACUUAACUCUGUUAGUCUCCAUAUCUUCAUCUAAAAUGGUCAUCUAUAUAGGAGUUCCCAUCGUGGUGCAGCAGAAACAAAACCAUCUAGUAACCAUGAGGUUGUGGGUUCGAUCCCUUGCCUUGCUCAGUGGGUUAGGGAUCUGGCAUUGCCAUAAGCUGUGGUGUAGGUUGCAGAUGUACCUCAGAUCUGGAGUUGCUGUGGCUAUGGGGUAGGCUGGCAGCUGCAGCUCUGAUUUAACCCCUAGCCUGGGAACUUCCAUAUGCUGUGGGGGUGGCCCUAAAAAACAAAAAAAAGAAAAUAAAGUAAAAUAAAAUGGUUGUCUAUAUAGCAGUCAUUAACUACAUGCAUGUGGAAUUGGGCAAAGGAAAUGUGGCUGCUGAAACUGAGGAACUGAAUUUUUAAUUUCAUACACAGUUAAUUUAAAUUUAAAUUUUAAAACUUGGAGCAGUGUCAAAAUUUCCUAUAAGGAAAAUCUCAGAAUUGCUUUGAUAGUGAAAAAUUCACCUUUGGAAAUAUACCAUUCCAUUAUAUUCAUAUUACAUAAAGUGCAAACAUAUCACCAUAUGCAGUCUGACGCUUAAAAUUAAGUCCUGAUAUGAUGUGUGCCUUGGCAUCUGGGGAAAUUCUAGAAGGCCUCAAAUUUCCUAAUGACAAGUGCUCCUCCCUGUUGUGUUCCUAUGGAUUUGGUCCCUGAUCAAAGAAUCCUCCUGUUCACAGGGACCAGGCAUAGUACCUGAUUUUCCUGAGGAGCAAAGGUCAGUUCCCUGACAGCCUGAAGGAUCAUUCACACAAGCCAAUCACAUCAUCCUGAAAGAUGAUCAGAACCAGGGAUCAUCUAUCUCAUCCUCUUGUUAUUAUGAAGCCUGCCUGCCAUGGCCCUUACCUGUUCAUUCUUCCCUAGUGCAGCCCCCACUUGGGCCUGUGCAGUGCAGUGCCCUCCUCCCUCAGGUUCUCAGUAUAUGUGACUAAAAAACUGCUGUCAAUCUCAUCUACCCAGUGCCACAUAUUGUGUGUUCAGUCAUUGUUAUAAACCUGGGGCAGAAAUCCUGCCUUCAUCAACAAGGUGAAAAGCAGGGAAUCAAAACACAGUAACAUUUAAUCAUUAUAAAUAUUCUCUUUUAUGGGCAACAGUUUAUAUGUGUUUAGAGUAUAAAUUCAGAAGUCACAAAUAGCAUCCCUAUUCAAGAGUCUAUUCUCCAUAUCCGUGGUCUAUUAACGUUAUCAAUAACCAGUGUUUCUUUUAAUUUUCAAAUUAAUUGUCAUUUAUAUGCAUACGGUUGGAAAAAUAAAAAUGUCAAUAUUCAUUUAUUUAUCCAAAAAAUAGCAGUUAUGAAUGGUUCAACUUCAUAGUUGAAAAAUAUGAUUUCAUGCUAAAUAUCACUGUGUAAAGACAGUGUAUUGAUUUAUCAAGCAGCUGGUGUACACCUUCUUUCUAGUCUUAAAUUUGGAAGAUUUUAGAAAGUAAAACUUCACCUUCUAGAUUCUUUCGAAGCUAAGAUUUUAAGUGGUUUAUUUUCUACCAAUGAGCUGGUCUCUAAGAUAUUUGAAUUCAGUGGGGAACAAACUUAGAACAGAAAGGAUGGUGACAGUGAAAUCACCCAAUUUACUUCCAUAGAUCUGGCAGGAGGGCAUGCAUCUCAGCUAGCUCUUUCAGUUACAGCUUCUUGAUACCUGGGCUGCAGUGAAAGUCCUGUGUUCCUGCAGCUAACUGUGCUGUGGUAGAGACUUGAUCCUUUCCCCAAAUCAUGACUAAGAUGGUUUUGUCCUGGAGUCGGCAGUUCCCUUUAUUCCAGGUCUCUUUACUGUAUCUAAGGGAGAAAAUCCUUUGGCAGGUCAUUCCUUGGAUCCUGUUCUAAGUCUCAUUUCAGGAGAUCCAGAAAGUUCCUGCCUCUCCUACACUAAUAUAUUUUUAAAUGUAGACAUCUGCAUAAAAAUUAACUUUGUGCUUAACACAGUGACUUCUGUUAUCUUUUUUUUUAAAUGAUAACAAUUUCUGUGUCUCUCUGUGAGUCUAUUUCUGUUUUGUGAUAUUUUUGUAUCUGUUUUCAGAUUCCACAAAUAAGUGAUAUCAUAUGAUAUUUGUCUUUCUCUGACUUCACUUAAUAUGAUAAUCUCUAGGUCUGUUAUCUUUAAUUGAACCCUAGAUUUAUACUAACCUAUCAAAGUGAAUCACCAUUAUAAUACACUCCUCCACAGCACAGUUUUGGAUAUAUUGUGACUGGCAAUUACUCCUGUCUCCAUCAUUUCAUUGUCUUGCAGUGAUACAAUGACUAACUAUAUAUGACUGAACAUUUUGAACCCACUGAAAGUACUAAGGCAUGUUUCAUAUACCUUUUUUGAAUCAUGGCUAAAUCUUCCAGGUUCCCAAAUCACUGAUGAUGAUCACAGCUCUAAACUCAAAUUAUUAGCUAAAGAUUUAAUGCAUUGUAAAUGUUGCUUAUGAUUUAGGCUCACUUUAUCUAAAUCACUAAAUGAAUACAUUUUUUCCUUAUUUUUUAUAAAUAACUAUAAUUGAGGUGAUCUAAAAGUUGAGUAACAUUUUGUUAGGCAAUUAUGGAUGACAGGAGAUAAAGCUGUCCCUUUAAAGAUAGAAAAGUAUAUGGAUAACUUGAGGUAGGAGGAAAGGCUGAGUAAGUGAAAGGCCAGUGAGACAGGAAUACACAGGGCUGAGAAUAGGUAGAGAGGAGACAGGACCAGAGGUGAAGACAGGGGACCUUAAAAUCUCCAAUUAAAUAUCAGAUACCUACACCUAAAUAGUAAUAAACCAUUGUGAUGAGAUGGCCAAGCAAAAGGAAUCUGACACAAAUCCCAGGGAUGAGAAAAUCAUAAAGAGCAAAGUGACCAGAGUUCCCCAUUGUGGAGCAGCAGAAAUGAAUCCAACUAGUAUCCAUGAGGAUGCGGAUUUGAUCCCUGGUCUUGCUCAGUGGAUUGGGGAUUCAGCGUUGCCAUGAGCUGCAUGAUGUAGGCCUCAGACAUGGCUUGAGAUUCCCACCGUGCUGUGGCUGGGCCUGUGGCUGGCAGCUGUAACUCUGAUUCACCCCCUAGCCUGGGAACUUCCACAUGCCGUGGGUGUGGUCCUAAAAACAAACAACAACAACAAAGAACAAAGUGACCAACAUGCACAAAGUGAGGUGGUUUUGGGUGAGAUAGCAUGUGUUGGGGCGAGUGAGCAGGCAAGGGAGGUAGUUUUGGUCAGGGUGUGGGCAAAUGAAAAUCCUCUCAGUGAGUAGGGUGUAGCUGAGAAAUGGAAAGUCUUGUUGUGUAUAUGGUUUAGCACAGAGCACAGGGUGGCGAAUGGCUCUAAAUAAAGCUACAAAAUGAAACCCAGGCCAUGGGGGGACUGGUAAGAUAUAUAAGGUCAGGAAAAAUUUAUCACUGGAAUUGCCUAUUGCUGCUCUGGAAAUAGAAGGAGUACUCUGUGAUAAGGCUGGAGAAUUUGAUUGAAGGCCUAAGUAUACCCCAGAGACAUUUAUGCCAAGUUUCGAUAUUCUCUAGCUUUAAGAAGAUCCAGCUUGUUAUGGAAUGGAAUGUGAUGAUAAUUAAACUAUCCGAAGGCCGCAACACAGCAUCUUACACAUUGGAAGGAAUACAGGUUGCAAAAAGGAAACUCCCUUUUGCACAAUCAAUGGAGCAGUUAUCCUGUAUUUCACCUCUUCUGUCAGAUCCAGAGGACACACAGGACAUAUGCUUUCUAUCUGGUUUCAAAAAUAUGAUGAAAAGACAGGCAACCCUUAGGGGCAAGAGGAAAAAUGGAUUUCACACAACAUAGUGAGAUGGAAUAAAUACCAUGUUUAAAAAAAUGAAUUUCUCCAUCCAUCUGUCUCAUCAUAUCAUAUGCAGUGAAAACUUUAGAGGAGCAUACUGCUCUUCAUGGAAACAUUUCUUUAAAAUGUUCAUUGAGACUCUUUGGAUAUUGCCUAUGUUAACAGGCUAUUCAUGUAUGGGGAAAAUAACUAUUAAAAGCUAGAAAAGGAGGUUAUAGGUUUGUAGAUAUGAAUGAAAUUAGCAGGAUUAUAGGGCUCUAUGUAUUACAUACAAAUAAUUUAUUAUUUCCAAGGAGCUUGUGCCUGCCCACAGUUUAAAUAACAGACUCCAUAUGACAGGGAUCCUUUGCUAUGACAUGAAGAGUAUUACAAGUUGAGAGACACAUACUCAGAUGCACACAUACAUAUACACACACAGGUACACACACCUAUCUACACA